GCCUCCUGUGGAAGUGACAUUCGAUAAAGUUGGAACGAUACAAAGACGACUAGCAUGGCCCUUGCCCAGGAAUAACACGACAAACGCAUACUUCUGAUUGAGGCAUUU
rfam:Cyclospora cayetanensis strain CHN_HEN01 contig_1, whole genome shotgun sequence.